AAUGAACGCUGGCGGCAUGCCUAACACAUGCAAGUCGAACGAUGCUUUCGGGCAUAGUGGCGCACGGGUGCGUAACGCGUGGGAAUCUGCCUUGGGGUUCGGAAUAACUCAGAGAAAUUUGAGCUAAUACCGGAUGAUGUCGAAAGACCAAAGAUUUAUCGCCCUGAGAUGAGCCCGCGUAGGAUUAGCUAGUUGGUGAGGUAAAAGCUCACCAAGGCGACGAUCCUUAGCUGGUCUGAGAGGAUGAUCAGCCACACUGGGACUGAGACACGGCCCAGACUCCUACGGGAGGCAGCAGUGGGGAAUAUUGCGCAAUGGGCGAAAGCCUGACGCAGCCAUGCCGCGUGAAUGAUGAGGGUCUUAGGAUUGUAAAAUUCUUUUACCAGGGACGAUAAUGACGGUACCUGGAGAAAAAGCCCCGGCUAACUUCGUGCCAGCCGCCGCGGUAAAAC
rnacentral:rRNA from 1 species